rnacentral:rRNA from 1 species
AGCGAACGCUGGCGGCAGGCUUAACACAUGCAAGUCGAGCGGGCGUAGCAAUACGUCAGCGGCAGACGGGUGAGUAACGCGUGGGAACAUACCUUUUGGUUCGGAACAACACAGGGAAACUUGUGCUAAUACCGAAUAAGCCCUUACGGGGAAAGAUUUAUCGCCGAAAGAUUGGCCCGCGUCUGAUUAGCUAGUUGGUAGGGUAAUGGCCUACCAAGGCGACGAUCAGUAGCUGGUCUGAGAGGAUGAUCAGCCACAUUGGGACUGAGACACGGCCCAAACUCCUACGGGAGGCAGCAGUGGGGAAUAUUGGACAAUGGGGGCAACCCUGAUCCAGCCAUGCCGCGUGAGUGAUGAAGGCCCUAGGGUUGUAAAGCUCUUUUGUGCGGGAAGAUAAUGACGGUACCGCAAG